rnacentral:rRNA from 1 species
CCUACGGGAGGCAGCAGUGAGGAAUAUUGGUCAAUGGACGCAAGUCUGAACCAGCCAUGCCGCGUGCAGGAAGAAGGCUCUAUGAGUUGUAAACUGCUUUUGUACGAGGGUAAACGCAGAUACGCGUAUCUGUUUGAAAGUAUCGUACGAAUAAGGAUCGGCUAACUCCGUGCCAGCAGCCGCGGUAAUACGGAGGGUUCAAGCGUUAUCCGGCUUUAUUGGGUUUAAAGGGUGCGUAGGCGGUCGGAUAAGUUAGAGGUGAAAUCCCGCGGCUCAACUUCGGAAUUGCCUCUGAUACUGUUCGGCUAGAGCGUAGUUGCGGUAGGCGGAAUGUAUGGUGUAGCGGUGAAAUGCUUAGAGAUCAUACAGAACACCGAUUGCGAAGGCAGCUUACCAAGCUACUUCUGACGUUGAGGCACGAAAGCGUGGGGAGCAAACAGGAUUAGAUACCCGGGUAGUC